CCUAUUUUACUAUUUAUUCUAGUAUAGUUAGUGUUCUCAAGGAUCUAAUAUUAUGUAUGUUGUGGAUAAAUUAUGGAUUGUGUAGAAGAACCAAAAGAAGUAGAAGAGUGAGCAUCUAAAGGAAAUCAGUGAGAUUUCAAGAAGAUAAGGUGAUGGUGUAGUCUAAGCCGUGAGCGCGAUUAGAGAUAGCUCGGUGUCAAGACCAGCUUAGACUAGUUUGUGUUUAGAUUUCCCUUUUGGGCCUAUGUGCCUAGUAUGAUGUUGAACUUGGAUUAGUUUCGUUAUGAUGCUUGGAUUGGGUUUAGUUUUGGUUGGCCUGAACAUCUAGGCUGUGUUUUCUUACCUAGAUGUGGCAUGACACCCCUUAGGUUAUAAAUCGCUUCCGCUAUAUUUGUGAAA